UACGUAGGGUGCGAGCGUUGUCCGGAAUUAUUGGGCGUAAAGAGCUCGUAGGCGGUUUGUCGCGUCGGGAGUGAAAUCCACUGGCUUAACUGGUGGCUUGCUUUCGAUACGGGCAGACUGGAGGUAUGCAGGGGAGAACGGAAUUCCUGGUGUAGCGGUGAAAUGCGCAGAUAUCAGGAGGAACACCGGUGGUGUAGACGGCUCUCUGGACCGUAACUGACGCUGAGACACGAAAGCGUGGGUAGCAAACAGG
rnacentral:rRNA from 1 species